rnacentral:tRNA from 1 species
ACCAGUGUGCCGGAAUUUGGUAGUCGGGCUAAGCUUAGGCCUUAGUAAUCUAUGAUUGUAAGAGUUCAAGUCUCUUCACUGGUA